AGUCUGNAACCCGACUACAUGAAGCUGGAAUCGCUAGUAAUCGCGGAUCAGAAUGCCGCGGUGAAUACGUUCCCGGGUCUUGUACACACCGCCCGUCACACCAUGGGAGUUGGGAAUACCCGAAGCCUGUGAGCUAACGUAAGAGGCAGCAGUCGAAGGUAGAAUCAAUGAUUGGGGUGAAGUCGUAACAAGGUACC
rnacentral:rRNA from 1 species